UGCCUUGCUCACAAUAGCUGUUGAACUGAUCGCUGUUCUCAUGACUGUUGUUAGGGGAAGAAACAGACUGGGACGUCAUCACUGGUUUCAGGGGAAUCGGGCAGAAGAUAAGUAAACAGAAGAUGAAAGAAAAGUCUUCGGCUUCUCCUCCAGGCCAUAGAGAUGUCCCCAGAGUGAGAAGUCUGUUUAAGGGUCUGAGAUCUGUGUGUGCUGCCUAUGGAAGAAGAGAAUGGUAAUGGAUCAAUAAACAUUUGUUGAAAUGGAGAAGGUCGGUGAAGAGUGGAGGAAGGAGAAUUCCGAAAGAGAUAGGUAUAAGCAAGUCUUUGCUGAGGGUCACAUUGAGCUGCGAGCUGCUUCAGGGGUGUCCUUAGGAGUCAACGUGCUGGCUAAAGAUGUCAAGACCAAAAUCAAGAACUACAAGACUUCCCCUUUUGACAGCUACUUCCCCAACAAGCACCAGACAAAGAACUGCUAGCAGAACUAGCAGUUUCUAGCAGUGGACUUUCACCGCUGUGAGAAGUCAAUGAUUGCUAAAGGGGUGGACGUUUCCAUGCGUGAACGGUACCAGCGUGCGUACAAAUCUCUCUGCCCCAUAUCCUGGGUGUCAGCCUGGUAGACAGGUGGUAUGUUUCCUGGGAAGAUCUGAACUGGCUUCACCCACCUCUCCUCUGUCCUGCAUCCUCCUCCAAAGGUGGUGAGGGGGGACCUGGGUGCAUGGUGGUCCCCACCCUGGGACCCUGAAUCAUGGCUUACCUAAUAAUAAAUACUCAUUGAAAAAGCGUAA